rnacentral:tRNA from 1 species
UCCCAUGUGGCUCAGUUGAUAGAGCAUGGCACUUGCAAUGUGAGGGUUGUGGGUUUGAUUCCCAUGGUGAAAA